GUUUAUAUAAAACUAUCAAAGUGCAGAAGCGUACCCCGGUUUCUUAAUAUUAGCUGUGCUAUAAUGAGGGUGCGCAAUGCAGUGAGCCAGUUGGCUGUUACUCUGGUAACCAAAAGGGGAACACCGGCGUCGCGUCGUAGUAUAAAGGAAUCGAAAACAAGGAGCAACAAUAGCCGCUUUUUCAACGGAAUUUGACUAGCGGUUUUCCAAAACCACAGAAAGUGUUGC
rnacentral:lncRNA from 1 species